GUUCUGCUGAUGUUCUCACAGAACUGAACUACAUCUCCUGCCAGAUGGAAACAACAUCUCUUUUAACUUCCUCUGUGUGCUCCUCAAAACAUGAAUGACUUGUUUACUUUCUUCACUUGUUGCCUUUAAACACAAAAAAUGAUAUGUACAGAAAGAUAAUACAGUAUUUAGCUACUGAAUUUAUAUACUGAUCAGCAGACCACACAGAAUCUGUGGAGCUUUUUUUCCCCACAUUUUGAUUUUGGGAGAAAAUAGAUUUUUUUUUAUGGGUAAAAUGUGUUAAAUGUAGGUGAAAGUCAUCUGUGGAGUUAAGAUGCAGAUUCAUUACAAGAUCAGAGAUCGGUACAGAUCUGAGGCUUAAGAAAUAUAAAAUCUAAUUUAUGUCAUUUUUUUGUAUUUUAUUUUUUUAUCAACAAUUGUAACAUAUACAUGUACAAGAGUACAUGUAUAAUAAAGUUGCAGCAUGGUAUAAACAAUUUCAUAAAAUUUGCAUAAUGCCUUUAAUUUGUAAUAUUUUCAGUUUCAGUUGUCUGAUCAAAGAGCAACUGACCGCUUGACAUUGUCUGCAUGUUUUAUGCAUUAAUGAGCAAACGUGUACCUAAUAAAGAGACUACAAGGUGAAUAAUGUAUUCCACAUUCUUAAUUUUGUUAUUAUGAUCUUAUGUUUUUCAAGUGUAUUAAUGGUACAGAUGUUUUUGGCACAUUUAUGUGUUACUUUUACAAAACUACCUUCCUUCUUUUAGUCUUUGCCCCAGAUCUGUCGUCUGUUAAAGUGAAUAUAGCUGUACAUGUGGUCUCACGAUCUGUGUUCAUCUUCAUAACUGGCUGUUCAAUGCAUUAAUAGUUUGUGGUCUGAUGUUCCACUUCCUUAUUCACCCAUUAUUAGAGUCUCAUUCUGUAUCUUCUCUCACACUCGCUGUUAUGGAGCUGUUCAUCUUCAUAGUUUUUCAGCUCCUGAUGGAGGUUCAGUCUCACCGAUAUCCUAGAGUAAAAGUAUCUCCAGAUGUCAUAAGAGAGUCCAGCUCAGUGAAGAUCAGCUGUGAGACAGAACCACGUGUUACAGUGAAUAAAUGUGAUUUCUACAUAAACAGAGAGGAGAAGAAAAUGAAAACCAGUCCAUCAUGUGAGCUCGAGCUCACUGGUGCUGAAGUGUUCAGAUGGGCAGCUGUAAAAUCACCUGAAUCACUCAACAUUAUCUGUUACUACACAAUGAUAAAUGUGCAAGGCUCAUUCGUACCAUCAUCUGAUUCUGAUCCUGCCACAGUGACAGUUCUAGAAUUUCCUAGAGUAAAAGUAUCUCCAGAUGUCAUAAGAGAGUCCAGCGCAGUGAAGAUCAGCUGUGAGACAGAAACACAUGUUACAGCGAAUAAAUGUUAUUUCUACAUAAACAGAGAGGAGAAGAAAAUGAAAACCAGUCCAUCAUGUGAGCUGGAUCUCACUGGUGCUGAAGUGUUCAGAUGGGCAGCUGUAAAAUCACCUGAAUCACUCAACAUUAUCUGUUACUACACAAUGAUAAAUGUGCAAGGCUCAUUCAUAACAUCAUCUGAAUCUGAUCCUGCCACAGUGACAGUUCUAGGUGAGAUAUUUCACUGCUGUUCUUCUGUAUUAGAAACUUUUAUUCCAGUGUUUUUACUAACCAUGGAUCAUUUUACGUCAUACAGAUUCACUUGAUAAACACAUCAUCAGUUAGUAAUGAUGAUGUUACACCUAUAGGGCACUUCUGAAUGGAUUGGAUAAUAUUUGUAAAGACCCUUUCAAUAGAUUGUAUAGUACAAAUUAAGAUACUGUCCCAGUGACAAGUUGUUGUACCAGUGAUGCGCGGGUCAAUGUAUAAACAACCCGCACCCGACCGACGUUUUCAACUAACCCGCCCGCAACUCGAACCGCAAAAAAAGAAAAAGAAAAUAUUGUACCCGACCAGCUUUUUUUAAAAGUAGUAAAUGCUCAUCGUAGCGCAGGGGCGUAGAAUUAGGGGAGGACGCCACGUGUCCCUACCAAUGUCCAGCGACUGCCAAACUGUCCCUAGCGAUAAUUUUGAAAAAACAAUUAAAUAUAUGUAUAUGUUUUGUAAUUUCGCAUCUGAUGACGCAUCUGAAACAUCAUUCCAUUGAUAUUAUUACCUAAGAAGUUAAAGUAAAUAGGCUACGUUAGAAAACGGCGCGCUUUCAAGGACGCGCAUUUAUUAUUUUUAAAUGGGCGGAAUGUAGUCACUCACCGGACAAGAAGCGCAACAGCUGAGGAUACUGAACUGCAGCGUGCCGGUUAGAGCGGUUCUCGUUCUCGAGUCAAGAACCGGUUGCAUCGGUUUUCGGAUCACCAGUACACUGAACCGAGAACCGUUUCUGUCGGACGCGUCCGAUUUGAGAACCGAGGAGCUGAUGAUACUGCGCAUGCGUGAUUCAGCGUGAAGCAGACUGACACACAGCGCGUCUGAACCGAACUGGUUCUUUCGGUGAUUGAUUCUGAACUGAUUGUGUGCUAAUGUUAUGAGCGCGGGUAAACCGCAGGCUUGAAUGAAGGGCGAAACGUAAGUUUAUUUAAUAACAAAUAAAUCGCAAUGGAUUAUGUAUAGUAAGUGGAUC
ensembl:lncRNA